GUGGAUGCCUUGGGACUGGAAGGCGAUGAAGGACGUGAUAACCUGCGAUAAGCCUCGAUGAGCUGGAAAUAUGCUAUGAAUCGGGGAUUUCCGAAUGAGGAAACUCAACUAGAUUAAUCUCUAGUUACCCAGCACUGAAUACAUAGGUGCUGUGGAGCGAACCUGGCGAAUUGAAACAUCUUAGUAACCAGAGGAAAAGAAAAUAAAAAUGAUUCUGUUAGUAGCGGCGAGCGAAUGCGGAAGAGCCCAAACCAACUUUAUGUUGGGGUUGUAGGGCGGCCUACAUGGAGUUACAAAGUUUAUGCAUAGUAGAAGUAGUUGGAAAGCUACGGCACAGAGGGUGAUACCCCCGUACAUGAAAUGCAUAAGCCUCCUGGCCGUUCCCUGAGUAGGGCGGGGCACGUGGAACCCUGUCUGAAUCUGCCUGGACCAUCAGGUAAGGCUAAAUACUAACCAGUCACCGAUAGUGAACUAGUACCGUGAGGGAAAGGUGAAAAGAACCCCGGGAGGGGAGUGAAAUAGAAUCUGAAACUUAUAGCUUACAAUUAGUCAGAGCCCGUUAAUGGGUGAUGGCGUACGUCUUGCAGGACGGACCGGCGAGUUAUAUUUACUAGCAAGGUUAAGCGGAUAAAAGCGGAGCCGUAGAGAAAUCGAGUCUUAAUAGGGCGAAUUAGUUAGUAGGUAUACAACCGAAACCCGGUGAUCUAUCCAUGAGCAGGUUGAAGUGGUGGUAACACAUCAUGGAGGACCGAACCAGGGUACGCUGAAAAGUGCUUGGAUGACUUGUGGAUAGCGGUGAAAUUCCAAUCGAACCGGGUGAUAGCUGUUUCUCCCCGAAAUAGCUUUAGGGCUAGCGUGUAGAUUUAAGUAGUGGAGGUAGAGCACUGAAUAUGGAAUGGCGGCGUCUAGCCGUACUGACUAUAAUCAAACUCCGAAUGCCAUUAUGUAUAUCUAUGCAGUCGGACUAUGGAUGAUAAGACCCGUAGUCGCGAGGGAAACAACCCAGAUCGUCAGCUAAGGUCCCCAAUUUAUACUAAGUGAGAAACGUUGUGGGGUUUCUCAGACAACUAGGAUGUUGGCUUAGAAGCAGCCAUCAUUUAAAGAGUGCGUAACAGCUCACUAGUCAAGAGACCCUGCGCGGAAAAUGUAACGGGACUAAGUAUAAAACCGAAGCUACGGACAACCGAUGUUAUUUGGUUGUGGUAGGGGAGCGUUCCUAGGGCACUGAAGGUAGACCGGAAGGACUACUGGAGCGCUAGGAAGUGAGAAUGCCGGUAUGAGUAACGAUUCAGAGUGAGAAUCUCUGACGCCUAUUGGGAAAGGUUUCCUGGGCAAGGUUCGUCCACCCAGGGUUAGUCGGGACCUAAGGUGAGGCCGAAAGGCGUAGCCGAUGGACAACUUGUUGAUAUUCAAGUACCCGCUAUUAAGUGAUGGAGUGACGGAGAAGGAUAGUUUUACCUGUUAUUGGAUUCAGGGGUAAGCAGUAAGUGGUGUAUGUAGGCAAAUCCGCAUACUAUAACCAUAAGCUGUGAUGCAUAGUGAAAGCUUCGGCGAUUAACGAAUUAAACGAUUUCAUGCUUCCAAGAAAAGCUUCUAACUGUAUUAAUAGCGGCCCGUACCGAGAACGAACACACGUUCCCAAGAUGAGUAUUCUAAGGCGAGCGAAAUAACCAUUGUUAAGGAACUCUGCAAAAUGACCCUGUAAGUUAGCGAUAAAGGGUGCUCACUUUUAGUGAGCGGCACGAACCGGGGGGGGCGACUGUUUACCAAAAACACAACUCUCUGCUAAAGCGUAAGCUGAUGUAUAGGGGGUGACACCUGCCCAGUGCCGGAAGGUUAAGUUGAUUUGUUAGUUGAUUCUAUUAACGAAGCAUUGAUAUGAAGCCCUGGUGAACGGCGGCCGUAACAAUAACGGUCCUAAGGUAGCGAAAUUCCUUGUCGGGUAAGUUCCGACCUGCACGAAUGGCGUAACGAUGGCCACGCUGUCUCCACCCGAGACUCAGUGAAAUUGAAAUCGCUGUUAAGAUGCAGCGUAUCCGCGGCUAGACGGAAAGACCCCGUGAACCUUUACUACAGCUUCACAGUGGAUCUUGAUGUUGCUUGUGUAGGAUAGGUGGGAGGCUUUGAAGCCAUAGCGCUAGCUUUGGUGGAGCCAACCUUGAAAUACCACCCUUACAAAAUUGAAUAUCUAACCGGCUAUGCUGGGAAAAUGUCAGGCGGGUAGUUUGACUGGGGCGGUCGCCUCCUAAAGAGUAACGGAGGCGCCCGAAGGUUCCCUCAGCACGGUUGGAAAUCGUGCGCAGAGUGCAAAGGCAUAAGGGAGCUUGACUGCGAGACCUACAAGUCGAGCAGGGACGAAAGUCGGGCUUAGUGAUCCGGUGGUUCCGAAUGGAAGGGCCAUCGCUCAACGGAUAAAAGGUACUCCGGGGAUAACAGGCUGAUACCGCCCAAGAGUUCACAUCGACGGCGGUGUUUGGCACCUCGAUGUCGGCUCAUCGCAUCCUGGAGCUGGAGUCGGUUCCAAGGGUAUGGCUGUUCGCCAUUUAAAGCGGUACGUGAGCUGGGUUCAGAACGUCGUGAGACAGUUCGGUCCCUAUCUGCUGUGGGCGUUGGAUUAUUGAGAAGAGCUGCUUCUAGUACGAGAGGACCGAAGUGGACGCAUCACUGGUGUUCCAGUUGUCCUGCCAAGGGCAUAGCUGGGUAGCCAAAUGCGGAAAGGAUAACUGCUGAAAGCAUCUAAGCAGGAAGCCUCCUUCAAGAUGAAUAAUCCCUAUAAAUCCCAUCUAGACCAGGUGGUUGAUAGGCUGGAGGUAUAAGUGUG
rnacentral:rRNA from 1 species